rnacentral:rRNA from 1 species
UUAGGAAUCGUUGUCAAUGGGGGAAACCCUGAACACGCGACGCCGCGUGGAGGAUGAAGGAUCUAGGUCUGUAAACUCCUUUUGCCAGGAAAGACUUAGGACGGUACCUGGCGAAUAAGCUCCGGCUAACUACGUGCCAGCAGCCGCGGUGAUACGUAGGGAGCAAGCGUUGUCCGGAUUUACUGGGCGUAAAGGGCGCGUAGGCGGCUCAUUAAGUGUGUGGUGAAAUCUCUGUGCUCAACGCAGAAAUUGCCACGCAUACUGGCGAGCUUGAGGGACGUAGAGGUGAAUAGAAUUUCUGGUGUAGCGGUGACAUGCGAUCAUAUCAGAAGGAAUACCAAUGGCGAAGGCAGUUCACUGGACGUUUCCUGACGCUGAGGCGCGAAAGCGUGGGUAGCAA